rnacentral:rRNA from 1 species
GGGUCAGUAGGUUGGUCGUGCCACCGGUACGUACUGGUCUCACUGAUUCCUCCUUCCUGAAGAACCGUAAUGCCAUUAAUUUGGUGUUGCGGGGGAACAGGGCUGUUACUUUGAAAAAAUUAGAGUGUUUAAAGCAAGCUAACGCUUGAAUACAUUAGCAUGGAAUAAUGAAAUAGGACGAUCGAUCCUAUUUUGUUGGUUUCUAGGAUUGACGUAAUGAUUAAUAUGGAUAGGUGGG